UCUUAUUCUCUCUCUAUCUCUCAUAGAUGAAAUAGAAGAAGAAGAAGAAUUUGAACAAUGUGAAGAAGAAGACGCAAGAAGAAGCAACGUGUUUUCGCCUCUAAUACCCUAAGAAGCAUUCUUCUUCAUUCCCAGGUUUUUGCUUCAAUUCCUUCCCAUUUUUCAAGUAUUGCCAUUUCUUACUUACUUUUUUAGAUUCGAAUUUUAUGUUUGAAUUAAGACAAAUUUCCAAGACCCAUUUUAGAUAACAUCAAUAUUUUUAAUUUAUUUUUGUUUGAGCAUAUUAUUGUGAUGAAGUUGUUGACGAUAACUUACUUUGGGAACAUGGGUAUUAGCUAAUUGGUGGGAGAACAAGGUGGUUCUUCUAUAAUGAAUGUGGUAUAUAAUUAAUAAGUGCACUUAUUUUUUAUAAUUAUGGUUUAUUGUGAAGGGUGGUUGUUCACUGAAAGGAAUAUUAGAUGCAGUUGAAUUAUGAAUUUUGCUUGGAGGCCUGACUAUAUAAUUGAAACAUAAUUAAACUAUAGACAUUUGUACAUAUACGCUUUUGUCGAAUAAAAAUAUUGGGUCCCAUUUUGAGUGUUUCACUUUAUGUUUCACCGAUUAUGAUAAAGUGGAACACUAAGAGUGGGACAAAGGAUUUCCAUUUGCUCUAUGUCUUUUUAUCAAUGUUGGUAUUUCUUCUAACCAAACUUUCAUAGUUUCUAAAUGUUGUACAUGACAUGCCAACCUGUGAGCUGCCAUGUUCUCUGUUCUUUCAUCUAGUGUGAUGUAUCACCUCUAAAAACUUUUUAAGAGCUUGACGUGCACCGUCUGUCAAACACACAACGUUUGAGCCAUUGUCUUCCUUGGACUUCAAAGCUUUUGCAACUACUAGGGAGUAAUCUCCAGACUUGUAUAUUGUAACCCUGCAUCUUUCACAAUCUCAAGUGCUAUCUCUACUGCAAAAAUAUUUAUUUCCUCUAUGUUGGUCACCAUCUUCUCACUUUAACUCAUAGCUGCUAUCAGAAAACGCAUGUCAUCUCUAUCUCCCCACCCUCAAUGGAGUAGGCAUCAGUGUGCCUCAGCCCUACAAGCAUAAUUCACUUACACCUACCUUAGCCCCUCUUGAUGUGGAUGAUCAGCUCUCACCUGAGCCAUUAGCUAUUCUGCAAGAAAGGUCGAAACAGCUGUAAGUAAAGAUUGAGCUCCCUUGACUUGCCUAGCUGCAACAGAGGGGACUGGAGCUGUACUGGAGGAAGUAAAAGUGUCAUAGUGCACUGUAACUGUAACUGCUGUGUAAUUGGCACUUUAGUGAUAUUGUGGUGUUAGAGUGUAUUGCAUUAGAUUGUAUUGGUAGUUCAAUUAGUACUAUUAUGUGCUGUAUGUAUUACAAUAGAAAGUAGUUAGAUGGCAGUCAGGGAGUUAUAGUCAGUUACUCUUGGUAGAGAUUAGUUGGUCACUCUUGUUAGAGAUUAGUUAGUCUUGUAAUUUAGUUAGAGUGGCCUGGAUAUAAGGCACUGCUCCUUUGAGAAUUGUAAUCAAGCAAUACGAAUCAACUUGUUCCUUUUGGUCUC